rfam:Hymenolepis nana genome assembly, scaffold: HNAJ_contig0008496
AUCGCUUCUCGGCUCUCUGAGCUAAGAUCAUGUGUAGUAUCUGUUCUUUGCAGUGUAAUUUCUGCAACGGUCCCUAAUUUGGGGCCAAUGAAAUUACCUGUAUUUUUCCAACCGGGACGGGUGCUAUGAGCUUGCUCAACCCCGUCCACGGGUCGGCCUCGUAUUGCAUUACCUCGAGGAUUGGCCCAAUUCAU